rnacentral:rRNA from 1 species
UGGGGAAUAUUGGACAAUGGGGGAAACCCUGAUCCAGCGAUGCCGCGUGUGUGAAGAAGGCCUGCGGGUUGUAAAGCACUUUCAGUUGGGAAGAUAGUUUGUAGGGGAAUAUCCUGCAGAUGAGACGUUACUAACAAAAGAAGCACCGGCUAACUACGUGCCAGCAGCCGCGGUAAUACGUAGGGACCAAGCGUUGUUCGGAUUUACUGGGCGUAAAGGGCGCGUAGGCGGCAAUUCAAGUCAUCUGUGAAAUCUCCGGGCUUAACUCGGAACGGUCAGAUGAUACUGCUUUGCUAGAGUGCAGAAGGGGCAAUCGGAAUUCUUGGUGUAGCGGUGAAAUGCGUAGAUAUCAAGAGGAACACCUGAGGUGAAGACGGGUUGCUGGGCUGACACUGACGCUGAGGCGCGAAAGCCAGGGGAGCAAACGGGAUUAGAUACCCAAGUAGUCCCUGAGCGGGCUGGCAAGGCGCAU